AUUGAACGCUGGCGGCAGGCCUAACACAUGCAAGUCGAGCGAGCGGCGGACGGGUGAGUAAUGUAUGGGGACUGCCCGAUAGAGGGGGAUAACUACUGGAAACGGUGGCUAAUACCGCAUACUAUCGGAUAACCCAUAUGGGAUUAGCUAGUAGGUGGGGUAAAGGCUCACCUAGGCGACGAUCUCUAGCUGGUCUGAGAGGAUGAUCAGCCACACUGGGACUGAGACACGGCCCAGACUCCUACGGAGGCAGCAGUGGGGAAUAUUGCACAAUGGGCGCAAGCCUGAUGCAGCCAUGCCGCGUGUAUGAAGAAGGCCUUAGGGUUGUAAAGUACUUUCAGCGGGGAGGCGUUACCCGCAGAAGAAGCACCGGCUAACUCCGUGCCAGCAGCCGCGGUAAUAC
rnacentral:rRNA from 1 species